rnacentral:rRNA from 1 species
UACGGAGGGGGCUAGCGUUGUUCGGAAUUACUGGGCGUAAAGGGCGCGUAGGCGGCCUUGCAAGUCAGACGUGAAAGCCCCGGGCUUAACCUGGGAAUGGCGUUUGAUACUGUGGGGCUAGAGGACAGGAGAGGAAAGCAGAAUUCCUAGUGUAGAGGUGAAAUUCGUAGAUAUUAGGAAGAAUACCAGUGGCGAAGGCGAGUCCCUGGACAACUCCUGACACUGAGGCACGAAAGCUAGGGGAGCAAACAGG